rnacentral:rRNA from 1 species
CCUACGGGAGGCAGCAGUGGGGAAUAUUGGACAAUGGGGGCAACCCUGAUCCAGCCAUGCCGCGUGUGUGAAGAAGGCCCUCGGGUUGUAAAGCACUUUCAGUGAGGAAGAACGCCUGGUGGUUAAUACCCAUCAGGAAAGACAUCACUCACAGAAGAAGCACCGGCUAACUCCGUGCCAGCAGCCGCGGUAAUACGGAGGGUGCGAGCGUUAAUCGGAAUUACUGGGCGUAAAGCGCGCGUAGGUGGCUUGAUAAGCCGGUUGUGAAAGCCCCGGGCUCAACCUGGGAACGGCAUCCGGAACUGUCAAGCUAGAGUGCAGGAGAGGAAGGUAGAAUUCCCGGUGUAGCGGUGAAAUGCGUAGAGAUCGGGAGGAAUACCAGUGGCGAAGGCGGCCUUCUGGACUAACACUGACGCUGAGGUGCGAAAGCGUGGGUAGCAAACAGGAUUAGAUACCCUUGUAGUC